UUCCGACAUCUGUGGCCACCCAUUUUAUUCCACAAUUGAUUGGGUGGAAGCGGAGAGAAGAGGACUGCUGCCCCCUGUUAUACCAACUACAUCAGUUAAGGGACUCAGCGAGGAAAACAUCCCAUUCCCAGAGGAGGACCCCAGUUUGACCCACAUGGUCAGCGAUUUCAACUACAUUGACCCAAGCUGGCAGGGGUAAUUCCUGUUAGUGCCACCACCGAGAUUAAUCUCAUCCAAAUCAUGAAAGCUGUGCAAAUUACCACCAGGACACCAGUAGCACUGGCUUCAUCCUAUGAUAUCGGGUAACGUAUAACAGCCACGGUGAGCGAAUACUGUUUUUUAACAUCUUAAAAUCUGUCUUACUCCACCUACCCGAAUUGGAUCUUUCUCCCCACAUACACCAUCUUUCAGCACUGCAUGUAAUUGCUAGCAUCACCACACAAAGCACUUACAGCUGCAUUUAUCAUCUCUGUGUGCUUUCUGUGCCAUUUAUAUUUUACGCAGCUUUUCAUAGUUUAACAG